GAUGGGGCCAUGCGUAUUUAUACAGAAAGAAAGGAAAUGAGACAAAACAGAAACAGGUGGUAAAUGAGGUAAAGCGUUAAGGAGCUCGCUGUACUUUCUUUUUCUGUAAGUUCCAGCACACCCCAGAAGGAGCCUGUGCCCACUGGGGCUGUCUGGCCACUAAGAGGGGAGGCUGUGGCCCUGAUCUGCCACACCGUUUGAGGUCCUUUGCAGGAGACAGCCAGCCCUCUGCUGGCGCAGAUCAAGAAGAAGCUGACUUGACCAUACAGGACAUCAGGCUCAGGGAGGGACCAGGGGUGAGACCCUCUGGCCAGCACUCAGUUCCAUGCUGUCUUGCAGAGGCCUCCCUGCCCCAGGCACCCGUUCCCUCCCAAGCAGCACGAUCAGGUUCCCACCCUGACCCAUGAAGACUCAGCACCUUGGGCUCUAAACAUUGCACUUAAGGACCAGGCUGUGGUUUGGCCUUGACGGGACAGCACUGACUGAAACAAGCUUCCAAGCACAUGUGAUGGGCUGUGCUCAGUUGGAAACGUUGAUUUAAGUGGGAACAGGGCAAGGGGUGUCACAUCAGAAUCUGAGCCUUAUCUGCACCAUCACCUCCUGCGUCUGCAGAAGCCAGGGUGGGGAGGCAUGUGACAGUGGGGUCUGUCCCCUAACCCAGGGAGACAGGACCCCCUCUGACUUCAUGUAUUGCCAUUGUGACCCCUGACCCCUCCCCCACCCAUGGAGCAACACUGACCACUCCCAGCACCUGGUGUUUCCUCUUGGUGCAAGUUGGUCCCUGGUUGCCCGUGAGCAGAGGGUGGCCAGAGGAAGAGGAGCUGGCAAAGGAGGGCCACAGGGAACCCAGAGGGCACAGAGACAAAAGCCAAUGUGUGGGUCUGGAGACAGACAGUUCUGCUAGAGCAUGCAGUCAACUGACGAGUGGGGGCAUCGAUGUCUGACUGGGAAGGGCAGGGCCACUGGCCCACCCACUUGCGCUGCCUGGAUGUGCCAUACAGUCUGGUCCUUUUUACCUUCUACCUCGCUUUCAUAGAUCUGGGGCAGGAGAAAGAAGGAAUAACAGUUGGGGAAGGCCAGUUUCCUCAGUUCUAUCCCUGUUUCAGUCUGAAAUCGAAAUGAACAAAAAUAGACAUCCCACUGAGUGACUUUGACUCUUCAGGGAGGAAGGUUGGGGGUGGGACUGGGUUGAUUUUAGACUACAGACACGCCAGCAACUUCAGGAUGUUCCCACGAUACUGGCUGCAUUUGUUAAAAAUACCUUCAAUUCCAAAAAUUACAAAGACUGUAACUAAUCCUGUUCAUCAAAGCCAAGAAAAACACA